AUGCAGGAGGGCCCCUGUGCUGUUCACUCUCUGUCCAUCCAUCCAUCCGUUCAGCCUUCCAUCCAUCUAUCCAUCAUCCAUCCAUCCAUCUGUCCUUUCAUCCAUCCAUCAUUCAUCUAUCCUUUUAUCAUCCAUCUAUUCACCCAUCUAUCCAUCCAUUCACCUGUCCAUCUACCCAUCCAUUCAUCCUUCCAUCCAUCCAUCCAUUCUUCCAUUAUCUUCCCAUACAUCUGUGGGUCCUUCCACCCAUCCAUCCAUCCAAUCAUCCAUCCAUUCACCUGUUCGUCUUUCCACCCAUCCAUCCAUCAUCCAUUCACCUUUUCGUCCAUCCAUUUACCUGUUCGUCCAUCCAUCCAUCCUUCCAUCUAUCUUUCCAUCAUCCAUCCAACUGUUCAUCCUUCUGUCCAUCCAUCAUCCAUCCAUCCGUCCAUCCGUCAUUCAUCUGGUCACCUCUUCAUCCAUCCAUUCACCGGUUUGUCCAUCCAUCCAUCCAUCUUUCCAUUAUCCAGCCAUUCAGCUGUUCAUCCUUCUGUUCAUCCAGCCAUCUUCCAUCCAUCCAUGAUCCAUCCAUUCACCUGUCCAUCCUCCCAUCCAUUCAUUCAUCAUCCAUCCUUUUAUCAUCCAUCCAUUCACCCAUCCAUCCAUUCACCUGUUCAUCCAUCCCUCCAUCCAUCCUUUCAUCAUCCAUCCAUUAACCUGUUNNNNNNNNNNAUCCUUCCACCAUUUAUCCACUCGCCUCCUCAUCCUUCCAUCCAUCCAUCCAUCCAUCAUCCAUCCAUUCUUUUAUCAUCCAUCCAUUCAGCCACCAUCCAUCCACCUGUUCAUCUGUCCAUCCAUCCAUUCACCUGUUCAUCCUUCCGUUCAUCCAUUUAUCCCUUCAUCCAUAUAUCCAUCCAUCCUCCCAUCAUCCAUCCACUCACCUCCUGUUCACCCUUCCAUCCAUCCAUCAUUCAUCCAUCCAUCCGUUUAUCCAUCAUCCAUCCAUCCUUCCAUCCGUUCAUCCUUCCAUCUAUCCAUCACCCAUCCAUCUGUCCAUUCAUCCAUCCAUCCAUUAACUCUCUAUCCAUUUGCCUGUUCAUCCAUCUUUCCACCAGCCAUCCAUUCACCUGUUCAUCCUUCCAUCCAUCAUUCAUCCAUCCAUCCAUUUAUCCAUAUAUCCAUCCAUCCACUCACCUCCUGUUCAUCCUUCCAUCCAUCUCUCCACCCACUUAUCCAUCCAUCCAUCAUUCAUACAUCCUUUUAUCAUCCAUCCAUUCACCCGUCUAUCCAUCCAUUCACCUGCUCUUCCAUCCAUCAGUCCAUUCAUCCUUCCAUCAUCCAUCCUCCAUCCAUUUAUCCAUUCAUCUAUCCAUCCAUCCAUCAUCCAUCCAUCCAUCUGUUCCUCCUUCCAUCCAUCCAUUUAUCCAUCCUUCCAUCCAUCCAUCAUCCAUACAUAUUUCCAUUAUCCAUCCACUCACCUCCUGUUCAUCCUUCCAUGCGUCCAUCAUCCAUCCUUUCACCCAUCCAUCCACUCAUCUAUUCGUCCACCCAUAUAUCAUUCAUCCAUCCACCCACCAAUCUACCUAUUAA
ensembl:lncRNA